ensembl:lncRNA
GUGAAAGUCUUUGUCUCAACAAGCACAGUGAAGUAAAAACUGUCCCAGUUACCAUUUAUUUGGCAUCUUAUCAGUUUCUCUUUUCUGCCUACAAUUUCCUGAAAAUCACGUGACUUCUUGUAAAUCCCCAUGUCUAACUUCUGUAUUUGUGUUGAGUGUCGAACUUUACCACAUAAAUAUGCAGGGACAUGUGAUGACUUUGAAUCAACGUGGAAAACUGACUGGAUUUGUAAAAGUCAUCAACAUAAGUGCAUUUUGUCUUUUUUUCACCCAACUUUUACGCUAAAUCCAAUGACAUGGUGACAUUUGUUGUUGAUUUCACGUUGAAUUCACUGUUAGUUGACAACUCAAUCAAAUGUAAAUCAAAACUACACAUUGAAAGGACAUCUGUGCCCAGUUGGUAAUAAUGCAUCAUUGCCAUUGUACAAUUGCUGAAUCUUUUGAACAAUUGCCAGAGAAAAGCACCGCAACUGAUUUUCUCAGAUACUUACAGCUGUUUAACAAAUAGAAUUGACACUGAUAAAUAUCAAGUGUUCAUUGACUGCAUUAAUAAGGACUAUUUUCUGUUUUGUUUGUAAUGAGAUGCUCUCUUGUCCUCUGAUUAGCACGCUUGUAUCCUGGAACUGUUCACAUGUUCCGGAAUGUUUUUAAACAGGCAGAUUGUUAACACUGGUCUAAUUUACAGUAUUCAUCUCUCAUUCUCAUCCUCCAGUGACAGUUGUUUUUCCUGUCAGUCACCCAUUAAGGUUUAGGUGUUAAUCCCAUUGAACUUUGUUCCUUAGUGGCAACCUUACUUUAAGACAUGACCAUUCCAGUACAUUUACUGAGUGCAUUUUCAAGAGGAUGAAAAAAACAGCAUUAACAAUGCUGGGCUGAUGAUGCAGGACAUUUUGUUCCAAAGCUCUGACUUGGUAAGAGGGAACAAUUUGACCAUAGUUUAAAUACAUAGUUUAAAAUGAGGAUUGCAUUAGGACAAAUAAAGCAUCACUGAAUAGUUUGUCACAGUUUUUAUUGCAUUAAAAAGCUAAGCCAGAAUAUAAGAUAAUGAAAUGCUAAAUAUAUUUAUAGGAGCAAUGUGAGUAUGACCCUAUUAUAACCUUCUAAAUGUACAUUACUUAACUGAAUAUUGUUAGUUGUUUAGCCUCAUUAUCUGCUUCAUCACAUUUCAUAGGCGCUGCACAAAUCAUUGAUCAGCUAAGUUGAUAAGCUACAGAGCAGCACCCCUGGAUGGGGAGCAGUUUUGGGGUUUAAGUCCCAUGCUCAAGGGCACAACGGCAGGAGGGAGUACCUGGAAUCAUAGACCAACAGUUCCCACAGUUCUGUUUUUAUACCCUGUCCGUGGAUUGAAUCAGCAACCUUCCGGCUACUGAUCAAGCAACCUUCCACCUCUCUAAAGCCUAAUUUUGCAGCUUCUGCGCCAUCCGUUAGGUUAGUUUAAACAGAAUUAUGCAUCGAAAGUUCGCUUCUGUCGGCACAUCUCUGCUUCCGCAUCUGCACACCUCCUUUUUCCAGCAUGACAUUUGCUUACAAAUGAUAUGUGAAGCUUCUAUGUAUGUAGUGUAGGACAUUAUGAAGGCUUUAAUAGAUAUAUCUGGUUUAAAGUGUGACUAUGUAGCUUCAAAGUAUGCAGAAAACAUAAAACUUCAAAGUAUACAUACUGAAUAUUUUCCAGUGUGCAUGUUACAAAAUCUGGUGGAAUAUCUAAGCUAUUCCUACGUUUGCGUCUGUCUAAAAUAUCAGAAUCUGAGAUGAUGGAACGCUGAGAAGAGUCUAUGAUGUUGUUUUUCACACUCAAUGUCUGAUCUGCACCCUCUGUACUUAUGAAGAUCUCAGUUUCAGAGCUAAAAUGUAAAGGCUCCGUUAUGCUUCUCCGACGUUUGCGUUUGUACAGAAUCUUUGUCGCCUGCCCAGAGUCAGAAAAAUCUUCUGCCUCAAGUUCCAUUCCAAAGGACAUAUUUAAGUCACGCGCAAAAUCAAUAUUACAAAUCUUUUUCAAUUUAACCAUAUAUAUAUCAAAUAUUCUGACACAGGUAGUACCGGGUUUCAGUGUCACCAGUAGCAAUCUUUAUCUGACCUGACAGGUUAUUAACAUAGUCACACUUUAAUUCCAGGAUGAUGAAAGAAAGAGAGAGAAACAGAGAGAUAGGGACAGAGGGAGAAAGCGGAGUGGUUGGCGUUAUCCAUCCGGGAGCCUCCAGCAGCGGUAACAGGAGGGCAGCGAUGGCACAUAAGUCCUCAGGGGGUCCGUGUGUUCUCCAUCCACUAUCUUGGCCCCUGCUUUAGCCCUGGCCCCAGCCCUGCAAUGUGAAGAAAGGUUCUCAGUUCAAAAAUAUGUUUACUCUCUUAAGCAAUCAAUAAUUAGAUUUGCAUGGUAUUUGGUAUUUAUAGAUGAUGAAUUUGCUGAUGAUAACGAUAAGGAAUAUAAAGGUAAUGAUAAGGAUUGACAUAACAAUCUUGACAAUAGUGUCUUCAGAAAGCAUUCAUACCCCUUGACUUAUUCCACAUUUUGUUGUGUUACAGCCUCAAUUCAAAGUUGAUGAAAUAGAUUUUUUUCUACACACACAACAUCCCAUAAUGCCAAAGUGAAAACAUGUUUUUAGAUUUUUUUGCAAAUGUAUUGAAAAGUAGAUACAGAAAUAUGUCAUUUACAUAAGUAUUCAACACCCCUGAGUCAAUACUUUGUAGAAACACCCAUGGCAGCGAAUACCGCUGUGAGUCUUUCUGGGUAAAUCUCAAAUGAUUUGUGAAGCUUUGCACAACUGGAUUGUACAAGCUGUCAAGUUGGUUGUUGAUCAUUGCUCGACAGGCAUUUUCUAGUCUUGCCAUAGAUUUUUAAGACUACUUGAGUCAAAACUAACUAGGCCACUGAAGAACAUUCAAUGUCGUCUUAGUAAGCAACUCCUUUUCAUUUUUUAUUAAUUUGAAAACAAUUUUAAUUCCACUUUGACAUAAAAUCAAAUCUCUUUUAAAUUCAGCCUGUAACACAACAAAAUGUGGGAAAAAGUAAUGGGGUAUGAAAAGAAAGUUUUCACAGCCCUUGUGACUUUUCCACAUUUUUUUGUGUUACAGCCUGAAUGCACUGUUUGCAACAGAAUGAAGCCUUGAAAAAUGAAUAACAUUAUUGAUAGUCUUCCUGAUAAAAGAGACCAGACAGCGUUCAUUGACAGUUAAAGUAGAGAAACAUGUAUAUAUUUACCCAUUGGGAGGCCGAGGACCACACGUCCAGAAAUGUAUUGUUUUCAUGGUGUUUUAAUACAUGUUGCCGAUAGGAGUAGGUCUGAUGAUAUGCUGUUGAAAGGGAAAUAAUAAUGAUUGAACCAGCUAUGUAAGACUGCAUGACAGUAUGAAGGCAUCAUGAAGACUUUAUUAGAUUUGUUGUAUCUCCAAAGUAUACUUAAAGCAUAUAUAUUUUCUAGUAUACAUGUCACAGCUUCACUCAAAAACGUGGUGGAAUUUUUUUAUCUAUUCGAACGUUUGAGUCUCCAAAAUAUCAUAAAUCUGAUUGUAACGUCUGCUUCUGACUCACACACUCAAACACAUAGAUCCCCUGAACGCAGCUCACUUUCCAGCUCACACUCUCAAACACCUAGAUCCCCUGAACGCAGCUCACUCUCCAGAUCCCAAUCACAUGAAUUCUAAUCACCUGUUCACACAACUGUAUAUCAUUGUCACACCCUAUUUAGUUCAGUUCUUUGCCCCCCAUCACUGUGAGGUAUUGUUUGUUUUGUGACAUACGUCUUUCAGAGCUCUGUCUUUCCUCUGAUUUACUCCUCCCAUGUAUGAUCAUUUGCCUAUUCCCUACCUGUACUUUAGCCUAUCUACCUAUUUGCCUGAUCUCCCGGAUUACGUUACUAGCCUUUUCCCUGCCUUUGGACCCAUGUGUAUAACCUUCUGCCUGUCCCUGGACCCAGCUAUCUGCCUCCUCCUGUGUAUGACCUUCUGCCUGUCCCUGGACCCAGCUAUCUGCCUCCUCCUGUGGUCCUUUUCAAUAAACACCUGCUGCGCCCUGCGUUUGAAACCAGCUCUCUGUCUCCCCUCGUGUUCAUUACACUGAUAGGACAGUGCUGAGAAGUCAUUGUUUUUUACUCUUAAUGGAGCAUUACUAGAGCAUUUUGUAUACAUUAUUUGUAUUCAGGAAAGCAGUGAGUUGCUGCAUAACAGUUUUUUCCCUCUUAAUGCUUUAUAAUCUGCAUCAUGUAUACCUGGUAUAUAUUUGGUAUGUACUCGGUGUUCUCACUUGCAGAGCAACAUUUGCGUUUGUAAUUAAUCUUUGUCACCUGCUCAGAGUCAGAAAAGGGUUCUGCUUCGAGUUUCACCCCAUUAGCCAUAUUUAGGCCUAUGUCACACAUACGUUGUUAGUGUGAUAUAAACAAUGCAAUAAUAAAAUAUAUAUUAUGCAGUGUAAUAAAAUGUAGUCUUGAUAUAAUGAAAUUAAUAAUUUACCUGAAGGUGGUCAAAUCACAGGAUUAGCUUUGGGCUAGUGCUCUUUGAAUGUAAAAUUGUUUGAAUGUUGGACUCAAACAAGAAGCUUUUAUAGAAACCUGUUUCCUGGCUGUAGGCCUGUGUUCAUGAUUGGUCUCUGAAAGAACCUGACUGUACGUGUGUGUUCAUGAUUGGCCUGACUGGGACUUCCCUGAUUUUGGUAUAAAAA